GACGAACGCUGGCGGCGUGCCUAAUACAUGCAAAUCGAGCGAAUGGAUGGGAGCUUGCUCCCUGAAGUUAGCGGCGGACGGGUGAGUAACACGUGGGCAACCUGCCUAUAAGACUGGGAUAACUUCGGGAAACCGGAGCUAAUACCAGAUAAUUCAUAUCUACUCAUGUAGGUGUGCUGAAAGACGGUUUACGCUGUCACUUAUAGAUGGGCCCGCGGCGCAUUAGCUAGUUGGUGAGGUAACGGCUCACCAAGGCGACGAUGCGUAGCCGACCUGAGAGGGUGAUCGGCCACACUGGGACUGAGACACGGCCCAGACUCCUACGGGAGGCAGCAGUAGGGAAUCUUCCGCAAUGGACGAAAGUCUGACGGAGCAACGCCGCGUGAGUGAUGAAGGUUUUCGGAUCGUAAAACUCUGUUGUUAGGGAAGAACAAGUACUAGAGUAACUGCUAGUACCUUGACGGUACCUAACCAGAAAGCCACGGCUAACUACGUGCCAGCCGCCGCCGUAA
rnacentral:rRNA from 1 species